UGCGGGAUAGAGGAGUGGAUCCUUGCUAGGUUCAUACCCUAGAGACGAUGGUUCGAAUCCAUCUCCCGCUA
rnacentral:tRNA from 8 species